UUAGACAAACUGGUAUAGUCACCACCCUUCAAGGUGGAUUUCUAUGGGUUCGAGUCCCAUACAGAACGCCA
rnacentral:tRNA from 1 species